CUUUCAGACUUAAAAAGAACAAUGAGGAAAGACACCCACGCUUCCCCUCACUGGGCUAGGAAGGAGAGCUUUGCGGGUUUAGACUGCAGUCUCCCCCGCCCAUAGCCACCUGUGUGCCGGCUCCGCAGACGAGGUCCCCCCAGCACCCUGGCAGGGACUGUACCAUCAACAGACAAAUGGCAGCCGACCAAGGAGGCGACUGGCGUGUGGAACAGGGAGAAAGAGGUUUUCAUGGAGAAAGAGGCAACGUUGACUAUACGUGUUUACUCAAAGCUUUUUUAUACCGGACUAUAUGCCAUCCAGGUUUAAGAGAAUUCCAGGCAGGCUCUAGCAUUAUGUUUUUCACAGAAAAAGCCGGUGCAGUAGCCCGGAUGCCCAGAUCCACUCAUUUCCCAAACCGGUUCCCACACCCGCUGCCCACCACCUGGCGAGGAAGGAGCGGGCGAGGUUCGCUCGAAUCGUCGUCACGGGUUUCCGUGGGUACAGUUAUUACUCGUUACAUAAUAUUAAACAAUUAAGAUUAAAAAUGG
rnacentral:lncRNA from 1 species